UACGAAGGGGGCUAGCGUUGUUCGGAAUUACUGGGCGUAAAGGGCGCGUAGGCUGUGCUGUAAGUCAGGCGUGAAAGCCCCGGGCUCAACCUGGGAAUUGCGCUUGAUACUGCGGCGCUGGAAGGUGGGAGAGGAUGGCGGAAUUCCCAGUGUAGAGGUGAAAUUCGUAGAUAUUGGGAAGAACACCGGUGGCGAAGGCGGCUCUCUGGGUCGUACCUGACGCUGAGGCGCGAAAGCGUGGGGAGCGAACGGG
rnacentral:rRNA from 1 species